rnacentral:lncRNA from 1 species
GUCAGUACUCAGUAAGCGUUCCUUCUGCACGCUUUGCUUGCGUAUUUGUGGUGUGCUGCUCACGGCCUUUCAGACUGCUUCCAUCCCAAGCGUACCUGAAAGGAUGAAGUGUCUUCUGCUAAAAAAAGGAAAAUUCCGAAUUCCUGGUGCUUGGCGAGAAGGAACUGUGGGAUGGACUUUAUGCUGUACAGAAUGGGAGUAAAUGCCCGUAAGCUGUCGCAGAAGAGGAACAUGCUGUACCAACCUGCUCACCACACAGGUCUGAUUUACAAAAGCACUUCAUCGCUGACCUAAUUUGGGUCAACAUAAGGUAUGUAGAAAGAAAUCCUGUUGACCUAAUUACAAGUGAAGUUUAUCACUGCCAGGUGCUUUUA